rnacentral:rRNA from 1 species
CCAGACUCCUACGGGAGGCAGCAGUGGGGAAUAUUGCACAAUGGGCGAAAGCCUGAUGCAGCAACGCCGCGUGAAGGAAGAAGGUCUUCGGAUCGUAAACUUCUGUCCUUGGGGAAGAUAAUGACGGUACCCUUGGAGGAAGCCCCGGCUGACUACGUGCCAGCAGCCGCGGUAAUACGUAGGGGGCAAGCGUUAUCCGGAUUUACUGGGUGUAAAGGGAGCGUAGACGGCAUGGCAAGUCUGGUGUGAAAGGCAGGGGCUCAACCCCUGGACUGCAUUGGAAACUGUCAGGCUGGAGUGCAGGAGAGGUAAGUGGAAUUCCUAGUGUAGCGGUGAAAUGCGUAGAUAUUAGGAGGAACACCAGUGGCGAAGGCGACUUACUGGACUGUAACUGACGUUGAGGCUCGAAAGCGUGGGGAGCAAACAGGAUUAGAUACCCUAGUAGAA